GCCUUAUCCUUCAAUGUGUGAACAAAUAACCUCAUCCGGAUCGCCUCCACAUUUACAUCUUCAUAUUUAAAAUUUCCAACAUUCUCUAUGAAUCGUGCAACAUGUGAGCGAGGAUUCUCAUCAAUCCUUCCAUAGAAUGGAAUGGUAUUGGAGAACAAACUAAUAACAUCCGGACGAAGUUGAAAGUUUGGAUGUCCAUAUGGAGGGCAGACAAUACUUGAUUCAUUCUCUACUACGGGUGGGUUCAUGAAGUCUCCAAAUAGCAUAUCUUCCUCAUUUACAAUAGACUCUUGAGCUCUACCCGCUUGGUUACUAAAACCCGUUGGAAUGCCACCUCGAGGAAUAUUUUUCAGUUGAGCAUUAUGUUCCAAAUUACCCCCUUGGUGUGCCAUCUCAAUCAAUUGUUGCCUUCUCAAUUCCCUUUGUUUUCGUCGCCUUCUUCGAAAAGCUUUUUCAAUAUCCGGAUCAAGCUCGAAAAGAUCAAAACUUUUCGAACGAAGCAUGCACCACCAAAGACCUAAGGAAAUCUAAAUUAAAAGUUAAUUACACAAUAAAUAUAUAAAAGCUAUGCAAAAGAAAAAAGAACAAAACUUGUAAAAAUUAGAAUCAACAAAAGAUGAUAAUUGAAAUAAAACAUUCCCCUGCAACGGCAACAAAAACUUGUUCGCUAAAAUACUACCGCAAGUGCACGGGUAGCGUUCAAGUAAUAAAGUGGACAUUUGAUGUCUGGGUUGUCAAUCCCUCGAGGAAUGUUUACUUUAAAUUACACAAAUUUAAUCAAUUUAAUUCUAGCAAUGAAAAUAAACAAACACACAAUAAAGAGUUGAUUUCAGAAACUAAGGAAAAAUCAUACAAACUAAGAAAUUAUGGGAAUCUUGGGAAUUUUGGAGGAAAACAUGGUUGGAAUUCAUGGUUUCGCUUAACCAUCACCUAAUUAAUUUCUCCACAUGCCAAUUAAUGAAUUACUCAUUUACGAUGUUACACCCGAUUUUUCAAUUUUAGCUAAUUACCUCUCUCGAGUGAAAUUAACCCUAAUUGAUUGGUUUAACCUACUAUAUCUUUAUGUCGAUCACAACCAAACAACCGCAUUAAAUUGUUAUGAAAAUAGCUCAUUGGGUCACCUAGGGCUAGAGGUAUAUAUCUAUCCUCUACACAAAUCUAGAGUUUCUACCAUUUGGUCUAAAAUGCACAAUCUUCUCUCGAACUAUGUACACUUCAUGAAAUAUAUUCAUUCAUUGGCCACAUAAAUGAAAAUGCAAUAAAUACAAUAAUAGAAACACAUGGAAAUGGGCAAUUUAAUAUCAAAUAGCAAAUAUUGAAAAUCAAUUAAGCCUAGGUCAAGCUACUACCAUAAAUCCCAACAAAAUACUUAGUCCAUGUUAAAUAAAUGAUACUCAAGGAGAAUAUUCAUCCAGUGUAUUACAAAUAUGGCUAAAUAAUGGAGAAAAUACAAAGAUAUAGAUAAAAUUCUUUUUUGUAAAUUGGCUAUGAUUUUUCCUGAAUACUUUACCAAAUCCUUGAUGUAAUCUCCUUGUUGCUCUAUGUUGUAUCUCCAAAAUAACCAAGAAAAAGAAAAGGAAAAGAAAAUGAAAGAAAGAAAAAGAAGCAGAAGCUGAAAUUUGAAGCUACCGAAUGAAAACUCAGUUGCUGGUUUUUAUAUUAAAACCUAGGAUAAUUGUAGC
rnacentral:sRNA from 1 species